rnacentral:rRNA from 1 species
UACGGAAGGACCCAAGCGUUAUCCGGAUUUAUUGGGUUUAAAGGGUGCGUAGGCGGGUUAUUAAGUCAGUGGUGAAAAUUCCUGCAGCUUUAACUGCAGAACUGCCGUGGAUACUCAUCUAUCUUGAAUAUCGUGGAGGUUAGCGGAAUAUGUCAUGUAGCGGUGAAAUGCUUAGAUAUGACAUAGAACACCCAUUGCGAAGGCAGCUAACUACGCGAAUCAUUGACGCUGAUGCACGAAAGCGUGGGGAUCAAACAGG